rnacentral:rRNA from 1 species
AACGCUAGCUACAGGCUUAACACAUGCAAGUCGAGGGGCAGCGCAGUGUAGCAAUACAUGGGCGGCGACCGGCGCACGGGUGCGUAACGCGUAUCCAACCUUCCCGUUACUCAGGGAUAGCCUUCCGAAAGGGAGAUUAAUACCUGAUGGUGUUUGAAUUCCGCAUGUUAUUCAAACUAAAGAUUUAUCGGUAUCGGAUGGGGAUGCGUGACAUUAGAUAGUAGGCGGGGUAACGGCCCACCUAGUCUACGAUGUCUAGGGGUUCUGAGAGGAAGGUCCCCCACACUGGAACUGAGACACGGUCCAGACUCCUACGGGAGGCAGCAGUGAGGAAUAUUGGUCAAUGGUCGGAAGACUGAACCAGCCAAGUAGCGUGAAGGAUGAAGGUUCUAUGGAUUGUAAACUUCUUUUAUACGGGAAUAAAACCUCCCACGUGUGGGAGCUUGUAUGUACCGUAUGAAUAAGCAUCGGCUAACUCCGUGCCAGCAGCCGCGGUAAUACGGAGGAUGCGAGCGUUAUCCGGAUUUAUUGGGUUUAAAGGGAGCGUAGACGGGAGAUUAAGUCAGUUGUGAAAGGCUGCGGCUCAACCGCAGCACUGCAGUUGAUACUGGUUUCCUUGAGUGCGGUUGAGGUGUAUGGAAUUCGUGGUGUAGCGGUGAAAUGCUUAGAUAUCACGAAGAACUCCGAUUG